rnacentral:lncRNA from 1 species
CAAGCUGUUACUCUAUCUGAGAGUAAUCAGCUCUUACCUAAUUUUAUUGCAUGUGAAUCAGAAAAAAUUCAUAUUAUUCACUAAGAAAGAAGAUGCAGUGACAUAAGUGCUUUUCUUAAAUGUUUUGUGACAAAUAAAGUCUUAAUGAGGUAGUUUGCUUUUCUUUAAUUGUAACAAACAGUUUGGGUAAAGCUUUGACUUAAGUAUCUCCUCAAUCUGAUUACAUUUAAAACUUGGAUGUUUAAGUGAGUGAUGUUUAUAAUCAUGAGUUUAUGUUGUUUUGAAUAAUAAAAGUAUAAAAGCAUAGUCGAGAAAAUUGAAAAAUGUCUCCUCUUUAGAAAGGAUGGCUAUGAAGUGUGGUCUUCAUUCAGAAAUCACCACCUGUGUUUUUGAAGUUUACUUUGUUACAGAAGGAUGAGUUAGUUGUGCGGAGGCACUUGUUAACAUCUGAACAGUGAGAAGACACCUGACUGGCAGCCUUACCUGUUGGGGCCCCGCGUGUCAUGGUGAGCUGCAGAUCCUACAAGAGCUUCCCAUUUCAUCCGCUCCAUCUGACCAGGACAGGUAGCGGUGAGAAGAAGCCAUACACAGGCCUCUUUUCUGAGGGUGUAAAGCUGAUUCACUACAGCAAGCCUCGUAUACUUGGCAGGGUAAACAACAACACAGGCUGAAAAACGUGGGGAAAAAAGUGGAGCUGAAAGAAUGAGCAUGAAAAAGAGGAAAGAGGGAACAGCUAAUCUCUAGUCAUUCAUUUGAUUUCUUUCUGAUAGUUAUUCAAUAAACAUGUGGCAAAGAAUGGAUGUGAAUCCAGUUCUUAAGGCUGCAAGACUGUGAUAACAAAAUAAUUAAGGCAUUCUACUUCAUGUUUACAGCUGACUUCCAUAGGUUGUCAGCUGGGUGUUCGGACACUUCCGCUACCUUUUUCAGAGAUUGUCCUUGAAAAGAUCCAUGCAGAAAUAGUAUUUACAAGAUACGUUUCAGAACUAUUCACCCCAAGUCUUGGAAAUAAAAUGAAAACCAGCUGUUACCAAAUUAUUUCUAGAGCUUUAAUUUCCCAAACAAAAACUUGUUACAAUUAUCAUCUUUCUCAUCCUUUACUUCAUAAGGUUAAUUAUAUGGAGGAUUAGAAUUACAAUUAUUUCAUUUAAUAUUUGUCAAAGAAGGAGAAAU